ACUGCCCCUAGUGGCUUUGCAGGUGAGGCUGCUGCUCAACAUGUGUGUCAGCAGAUGACUGAGAGGAGGAAGGCUAUGUCUACACUAGGUGUCCUGACCUGUGAACAUCAGAAUGAUUAGCUGUCUUAGUUU